rnacentral:rRNA from 1 species
GUGGGGAAUUUUGGACAAUGGGCGCAAGCCUGAUCCAGCAAUGCCGCGUGCAGGAAGAAGGCCUUCGGGUUGUAAACUGCUUUUGUACGGAACGAAACGGUCCUGGUUAAUACCUGGGGCUAAUGACGGUACCGUAAGAAUAAGCACCGGCUAACUACGUGCCAGCAGCCGCGGUAAUACGUAGGGUGCGAGCGUUAAUCGGAAUUACUGGGCGUAAAGCGUGCGCAGGCGGUGCUGUAAGACAGGCGUGAAAUCCCCGGGCUCGACCUGGGAAUUGCGCUUGUGACUGCAGUGCUGGAGUACGGCAGAGGGGGAUGGAAUUCCGCGUGUAGCAGUGAAAUGCGUAGAUAUGCGGAGGAACACCGAUGGCGAAGGCAGUCCCCUGGGCCUGUACUGACGCUCAUGCACGAAAGCGUGGGGAGCAAACAGGAUUAGAUACCCUUGUAGUCC